CCACGUCGCUGUACAGGGUGAGAUUGAUAAAACACAUAAAACUGAGCGGUCUUGUCUGAUGCAUGCAUUUGAAUUCAUUUAAUAUUCAUGAGUUAUGAACGGACCUGAGCUCUCAGUGGGUAGUCGAGGAAUCAACUCAAGUGCACAAAGUGACAACUUGUUUAUAUGUCAAAUCUCUCCAGUAGUGAAUAUACACGUUGAAUAAAACAUCACAUUCUAGUAUUGACUCGUGUCCAUGCACUCUAAACAUGCAGUGAGUGAGUUGUCUGUUGUGCGACUGAAGUGUCCUCUGCUUGACUCCACUACUAAAGUGGGUGAAGGACCUUUGGCUCGGGGGACACCCGGCGCCUUCUCUGCUUGGCCUGACUCCCCACUCUCCGUGCCAGGCUGCUGGCAAACAACAAUGACCCUCUAACAGCGCGAGUCAACAGCCACCAAACAUACAACAGCCCAGGAGGUGCUAAUGCGACCUCUGACUGAGGAGCUGAGCUGAAUAUGAGGCGAUGCCGAGGAAACACACUGCCUGUGUUUACUGCACCACUGAUUGCCUGUGUCCUGACUAGAAGCUGUUGGCUGUCCUCAGCAUCUGAAUAGAGGACGAAAGGAUAAAGAUCAACAGAUGCUGCUCAGCGCUAACAAAAUGAAUGCUUUAAAUCCUAUGCAUCUGUCCAACUGAAGAGGACUAGUGCCCUAUGCUUUGAGAGACUAGAGGCUGAUCCAGGAUCGGAGUGACAGAGCUUCAAACGCACACGUUCACUCUGCGAGCAGCAGUGUCACGUUUUGCCUUGAUGAUGAAUUCCUCAGUGGGAGAAUGAAGAUUGUGUUUACUGGGUGCGGGAACCGGCUGAUGGAAGACAGAGGAGAAGCUCGGGGGCCUGAGCUGCUCUGUAACCGCAGUGAUGCCAAGUGGUCGGCGGUUUGAAGAGGACACCUGAGACCAGCGCACCUGGACAAUGAGCUGAGGUGUAACCCUAAACUGGGAUGAAUCGCUGUUUAUCCCCCACGCUCUCCUUCUCUUGUUCUUUCCCAUCAGUCUCCUCUCUGGCUUCAUACAUCUCUGCUCUCUCUGGUCCCCGAGCUUAUUUUCUCCCCACAAACCUGAUCUAUUCCACCCUGUUAUUCUCCCAAUCUUUUGACUCACCACCUCUUUCCUCUGUCCCUGUCUCACUUUCCUCCUAUGCCCCCACCCAGCCACCCACCCACCUCAGGCAUCGCCAGGCUAAUGCAAACAUCCCUCAGCGUGAGUGUGAGUCAUAUAAUCACAUACUUAACGAUUAGCACCCACGCGAUUUUUAUCAUUCAGAGGGAAAGCCGGGUCCAAGCCCUUCCUGAGACAUUCCUGCAUUUCUUCAGUUGCUAUUUUCACACAGACAAUACUCUAAAUUAGGGGACUGACAUUUUGUGCAGCAGCUGACAGCGGCUAGCAGCUGUAUGACUCAGUGACACAGAAGCAGUGCCCGUGUCACCAUGGAAAAGGCAUCGUUAUGGUGUUGUUGCCAAGGCUCUGCUGUCCAAUACGCAUCUGAUCCCUCACGGUUACUGCUGGGGCCGUACAGGGGGAGGAGGGAGAGUGAAGAGAUGGAAGCAGGGGGUACACAUGUUUGACAGUGAGACAUGAUGGAAAAGUGGGAGACAGGAGGGAAGGAUUGGAGAUUAGGAAAUAUUUCGGGCAGAUCAGCAGCGAGAGUGUUUAAGCUACACUCGCUUCUGCUGUCUCCCUCUUUAAAAGGCCUUUAGUCAGCAUCCUGCACACUCCACCCAUAUUUGUACACUCCCUCCCCCAUCACUCAUGUCACUCAGGAUAAACACACAUAGUCUGACCUACACAUACACACACACACACACACACACACACACACACAUGCACUUAAGAUGCUCAGUGUGUAUUAUUUCUUUGAUGCACCAACAACUGCAACUGCGUCUUUAAACAGCAAGUAGCACAAAGGACCAAAAAUAGCACAGUGAGUUGCAGAGCAGAACUGCUCUCCUUGAGGAGGGGAGGAAAGAGCAGGAAGAGGAGGAGGAGAAGAGGCAGGAGGAGGUGCAGAGAGAGAUGACAGGGAAAAGAUGGCAGAAGGGAGACCAGCUCUCCGAGACUUAGGCAUCCCUGCUGCGCUCAAUUUAAGUUUCUCACCCAAUGUCAAGCUUCCUAAAACCUCCCAUUAUACACUGGAAUUCAAUGACAGACUUGAUAAUCACAAUUCUGCAGUGUCAUAAAAUGAUUAGGAGAAGGCUUAAUGUUUCUACAUUUACAACUGUCCUCUUAUUUGUCCCAGUGGAUUUGUAUGGUAAUCCAUAACUGUACUGACAAAGUGAUACAAAUCAAGCAUCUAGACCGAAAACAGGUCAAUAUUAGAAGUGGGACAACUGAUCAAUAGAGCAGCAUAUCACAAUAUUUGAAACUGUCAUCAAUACAUGUCUUACUAGUAUGAGGUACUGUUCUUAUUUGAGUUUUCUGCUCUGUUCUUUAAUAUCAUAAAUUACUGAUUUACGUUGUAUGUCAAUUUUAAAUGAAUAGUUCAACACUUGGAGAAAUUACACUUGUUCUCUUUCUGAAGACUGAAACCACUUUCAUAUGUGCCUGGAGAUGGUUAGUUUAUCUUAGCAUAAAGACUGGAAACAGGAGGAAACAUUAUUAUUGGUGUUUAUUGAACCUGUUGAAUAUAAUCUUCAGGAAGGCAGGAUUAUUGCAGGACUGCUAUGCAGGAGGAGGUAUACAAACUUGGAAAAUGUAAUGUGCGCAAGGUCCAUUUGAUGUUAAUAUCUGGGGCUCCAUCAGCUACAUUGUAAUCAUGUGACAACAGGAAUUCGACCUCGCCCCCAAAUACGAGCACCUGCGAUCACGUGUCCACAUGUAGGUCAUGAGAUAACUGAAUCAUCUUAAUGACAAGUGUGCAAACCUCCUCUUCUGAUGAAUACCAAGUUGUGAUUGAGAGAUCCUGAACGUUUCUAUUACGCAGACCAAAACACUGAGGAAAAAGUGUUCGUCUGGAGCUCAGCUCGACCAAAUUCUUGUGUUUAGUCCAGACUGCUAUAUUUUAGGAAGAAAACCAGUUUAGGUUUGUUGAGACUGACCUUCUGGCCCUUGAUCUUACAGUAUGUGUUUCACCUACCAAAACAACUCCUCUUCAGUCUUAAUAGAACUGCAAGAAUCAGGUAUUUACAGAGAAGAGAAAAGAUACAUGCUUGCAGU